GACGAACGCUGGCGGCGUGCUUAACACAUGCAAGUCGAACGGAAAGGCCCUGCUUGCAGGGUACUCGAGUGGCGAACGGGUGAGUAACACGUGGGUGAUCUGCCCUGCACUUCGGGAUAAGCCUGGGAAACUGGGUCUAAUACCGGAUAGGAGCCAUUUUUAGGGUGAUGGUUGGAAAGUUUUUUCGGUGUAGGAUGAGCUCGCGGCCUAUCAGCUUGUUGGUGGGGUAAUGGCCUACCAAGGCGGCGACGGGUAGCCGGCCUGAGAGGGUGGACGGCCACAAUGGGACUGAGAUACGGCCCAGACUCCUACGGGAGGCAGCAGUGGGGAAUAUUGCACAAUGGGCGCAAGCCUGAUGCAGCGACGCCGCGUGGGGGAUGACGGCCUUCGGGUUGGAAACUCCUUUCGCUAGGGACGAAGCUUUUUGUGACGGUACCUAGAGAAGAAGCACCGGCUAACUACGUG
rnacentral:rRNA from 1 species